UACGUAGGGUCCGAGCGUUGUCCGGAAUUACUGGGCGUAAAGAGCUCGUAGGGGGUUUGUCGCGUUGUUCGUGAAAACUCACAGCUCAACUGUGGGCGUGCGGGCGAUACGGGCAGACUUGAGUACUGCAGGGGAGACUGGAAUUCCUGGUGUAGCGGUGGAAUGCGCAGAUAUCAGGAGGAACACCGGUGGCGAAGGCGGGUCUCUGGGCAGUAACUGACGCUGAGGAGCGAAAGCGUGGGGAGCGAACAGG
rnacentral:rRNA from 1 species